CCUCCUAAAUGCAGUCAGCAAGAUUUCCAGGGUAUAAUUUAGAACAUGGAAAACUCCUUCAUAAAAAACCACAUCAAAAACAGGAAUAUAUUGGAACUGAAGUUGAGCUGAGUGUCUCAUACUUUUAAUGGAAACAAAGCAGUUGCUGGAUGUGAAUAAGGGUCUCGGAAAUAAUAAGAUUCCAAAAGCAUAGUCAAAGCCUCUAAGGGAACAGUGUCUAUUCUAGCCCUCCAUAUUUUCCCACUCAUUAUUAAUUCAUUUAAUCAAUAUUGUGAACUUGUAUAUGCCAAGC